GCAGCCAGGGCCUCCCAAAUUCAAGGAAGGCUCUCUGGCAGUGGACCACGCCCCCAGCCCCUCACUGGGGAUUCUGGGCGGGCCUCCACCCUGACCACGACCCCAGCCCCUCACUGGGGAUUCUAGGCAGGGCUCCACCCUGACCACGCCCCCAGCCCCUCACUGGGGAUUCUGGGCGGGACUCCACCCUGACCACGCCCCCAGCCCCUCACUGGGGAUUCUGGGCGGGCCUCCACCCUGACCACGCCCCCAGCCCCUCACUGGGGAUUCUAGGCGGGGCUCCACCCUGACCACGCCCCCAGCCCCUCACUGGGGAUUCUAGGCGGGGCUCCACCCUGACCACGCCCCCAGCCCCUCACUGGGGAUUCUAGGCGGGGCUCUAUCUCUGACCUGAAGCUGCAGAACUUUGUUUUUAGUUUUUAUGAAUGUGUGUUCAUGUGUGUGACAUGUGGAAGUCAAAGGACAAUCUAAGGGUCACAGUCAUGCGUCCUCCACCUCCUCUGAGACAGUCUCUCUGAACCUGGCCUCCACAAUUUAAGCUAGGUUGGGUGACGAGUAAACCUUGGAUCCUUUUGCCUCUGCCUCCUCGGUGCUGGGGUCACAGCCUAGGCUAGCCUUGAAGUCCGGAGGCCUCUGCCUCAGCCUCUGAGUUGCUGGAGGACGGAUGUGGGCCACUGUCUCCAGUUACUCCUCUUGUUCUGUGUGCAGCCCAGGGCUCAGCUUGAACUGCACUCACCAUCUGAACCAGGCCCCUUUGCCACGUUGCACAGAGAAGCUGGGCACAUGUACCAGUGGGGGAACCCUGUUUCUUGUACCUCAAGGCCUAGCCUGUGGGUGGACAAAGUAGGGUGCCCAGAACCCCAAUUGCUUCCAGAAUCUCCUGGGUGCCUUGAGUGCAGGCAGCUUGUCCAAUCCAGACUCCGUCCUCAGAGCAGCCAAGGACUGAUUACUGGAACCCAGGAGCACAGGGUCCAGGCCUGCAGGACCCCUCCAAGCAGAACCUCCUGCUCCAGGGGACAGCACUUGGGUUUGCUCUGGGGGUGUUAGUUACUAAGUCCCCAGGUAGAGUGGCACCAUCAGGUGGCGUCCAUGCCCACAGAUACUCGAGGGAUGUCUUAAAAAUAAAUUGCAUUUGCUUGUUUA